rnacentral:rRNA from 1 species
GGCGGCGUGCUUAACACAUGCAAGUCGAGCGGAAAGGCCCUUCGGGGUACUCGAGCGGCGAACGGGUGAGUAACACGUGAGCAACCUCCCCUAGGCUUUGGGAUAACCCCGGGAAACCGGGGCUAAUACCGAAUAGGACCUUCGGUCGCAUGACUGUUGGUGGAAAGUUUUUCGGCCUGGGAUGGGCUCGCGGCCUAUCAGCUUGUUGGUGGGGUGAUGGCCUACCAAGGCGACGACGGGUAGCCGGCCUGAGAGGGCGACCGGCCACACUGGGACUGAGACACGGCCCAGACUCCUACGGGAGGCAGCAGUGGGGAAUAUUGCACAAUGGGCGGAAGCCUGAUGCAGCGACGCCGCGUGAGGGAUGACGGCCUUCGGGUUGUAAACCUCUUUCAGCAGGGACGAAGCGUAAGUGACGGUACCUGCAGAAGAAGCGCCGGCCAACUACGUGCCAGCAGCCGCGGUAAGACGUAGGGCGCGAGCGUUGUCCGGAUUUAUUGGGCGUAAAGAGCUCGUAGGCGGCUUGUCGCGUCGACUGUGAAAACCCGCAGCUCAACUGCGGGCCUGCAGUCGAUACGGGCAGGCUAGAGUUCGGUAGGGGAGACUGGAAUUCCUGGUGUAGCGGUGAAAUGCGCAGAUAUCAGGAGGAACACCGGUGGCGAAGGCGGGUCUCUGGGCCGAUACUGACGCUGAGGAGCGAAAGCGUGGGGAGCGAACAGGAUUAGAUACCCUGGUAGUCCACGCUGUAAACGUUGGGCGCUAGGUGUGGGGGGCCUCUCCGGUUCUCUGUGCCGCAGCUAACGCAUUAAGCGCCCCGCCUGGGGAGUACGGCCGC